UCUUUCUACAAUCAGAUCUGACUUCCAAUUCCAAGCGAGAAAGCGAGAGAGCGAGAGGAAGUCUGAGAGAGUAGAGAACCCCUAGGUUCCGUCGCUCGCGUCUCUGGGUAGACGACAUUCGAGAAUGGAGCCCUAUGGAAAAAUACAAACCCUAAAUCAUUUUCAUUGCCUUGUCCGGAGCUUGAUCCGGAUCCGAAUAAGACAAUGAUUUAGGGCUUCGGAUGGUGCAAAGAGAACGGUGAGAUUGUUGGUCUCUGCGUCGACGAUGAAGAUGACAACAAUCCAGAACGUAGCCAUGUUGCGCGGAUCACGAUCUGUCUCAGAUUACGGUCAUACAUUUAACUGAGCCCACUCAGCCUCAUUGACGUUCGAGUUUGGUUAUGGGAUGUUACAUUUUGCGGAUGGGUUUCCUUCAAACAGUGUACCAGUUGCUUAACCUUGUUUCAGAGGCGUUUUUCAAAUUUCCGUCAUUGUUUGCAGUUUUUUUUCCGCAUUGCAUGGUCUCUAUGUGUGUGUGUGUGUGUGUGUGUGUGUGUGUCUCUCUCUCUCUCUCUCUCUCUCUCUCUCUCUCUCUCUCUCUUUCUCUCACAUCUCUCAUCCGUCUCCUCAUAUCUCCUUUCAUAUGUUUCGGUUUAGGCGGUGGGAAAAUGAAGGCAAAGGAUGAAAGUCAAAUGGGAAAGAGGAUUGGAGUUGAAGCACAGCUGGCAUGGUUUUUCGAAGUGUUUUUUAAUCUCUUUUUUGUUUAGUUUGUUUUAGUUCUAUGAUUGAGUAUUUCGGAAUUUUAUUUUUUUUUCAAUUUGCAGUCGAUAUUUUAAUUUCUUUUAAAAUGGAAAGGUCAUUACAUGUUAGGAGUUAAA